AACAUUUUGGCCACAAAUUCAAAGUGAGACCAGUCAGCUUUAUUCUUAGAUUUUUUUUCCCCCAGCAGGUUAAAUUGCUGGGGAAAGUUUUGGAUGGGUGUAAGAGAUGACUGGGCUGACCUGAGCUGCACCAUUUGCAAAGAACUGACCUGAAUGAUCGAAGAUAGACAACUGACUCAAGAGACCAAAUCUGGGACCCAGCACUCAGAGAGCAACCUGUGACCAACAUUGAUCAGGAUGCGGAGAAACGAGCGCUCUCAGCCGAUGCAGGGUCCUUUCGCAAAUCUCACACCUAACCAUCCCACCAACCUUGAGCCAAAGCCUUCCUGUGGGCAUGUAUUGGGGCCAUAAAAACAGUUUUCAAGAUAAUAAAGGCAACUCCUUGGACA
rnacentral:lncRNA from 1 species